rnacentral:lncRNA from 1 species
CCUGAACUUUGGACACACAGAGGGCCAAGUGCUGAGAGACCCCAACCAUAAAAUGAGAGGUAUGCCUCCAUCAUCCCCAGCUUUCUUCCAGGUGCGAUGUUCAACCCUGGCUUCUUGCUCCUGUUCUGAGGGUAUCAGCUCUUUGAUGGGUAGGAAGUUGGCCUAGGGAAUUUCUACUUCAAGGAAAAUUCCAUAUCUUUGGGACUUUCCUUCUAUCUCUUGGACAGAAGCCAUCAUUUGAGGGAUUUACAAUCCUCCCAUGGUGCACCUCACCAACAGUCCUCUGUUUCUUCACACCUGUGUUUCUUCCUCUCCAAAGACACUUGUCUCUCACUGCCCCCAAUUCAGCUCCCACUUCUGGGCAGAAGCAUCUUCUAAUGCUAACAUCCCCUGGUAGGCCUUAUAUUACCAGGUGGAGUAGCAUUUCAGUAGGAUCCAAUGGGAGAGCAGAAGUCUCAGGCUGAGGGUGGAAAUCCAGGCACAAUGACAGUUGGGAGGAGAGAUCCAGAUUUCAGUCACCUACCUUGAGGGUCUCUGAGAUGCUCCAGCACAUUGUAGAUGCAGCUGCCAGCUUACAUUGCUUGACCAGGAUGCUGUGGUGUCCACACACUCUUCGUUUCUCAUCUGCAUCCUGCCUUCAAAGUUCAGAGGGGCCUGGAAUGGUCUCAUAGGGAGUGGGGUUCCUGUUGCCAUGGUUGCCCCAUGGGUCACAAAGCUCAGUUCAAGGCUGAUAGGACUCUUGGGGAAGCUUGUUGCUAGGCUUGCUGACUGCCACAGCCUGGACUGCAGAUCUACCCCUGGUGGUGUGAAGGGUGUGUACAAGUCUUUCUGGCCUUGGGGCGGGGUUUGUGUAUGUGUUCUAGAAGCUCGGGUCUGGAGGGGACUUUUAUUGGCAUCAAGUGGCCUGUUCUCUUGUGGACUUCUCUGCAAUGUCAGUCACUGUCUCCCUUUGGCAUGGACAGGUAUAUGGGGGGUUAGUAAGACACGAGGAUAACUGUAUUCAAGCUCACUUUCACUACUUUAGGAUUCAAGACAAAAUCACUCUCUUAACCUCAGGCUUCUUCUGUAUUGUUGCUUCUAACAAUACAGAAAUACCCCAAUACAGGGCCUGACAAACAGCACACAUGGAGCCUCACUAUCCUGCUCUCAUCAUGUUUUUAGGGGGAGCAAAUAGCACUACUGGAAUGAUGUUGUCAACAGCCAAUCAGAAAGCUCAUGGACUGAUCCAACAAAAGGUGAGAUUUUGAAGGACCAGCUGGUGUCCUGGGACGUGGGAUAAACUUAUAAUAGGUGCACCAUUUUGUCUUCUAAAUUGUCUUCUAGCCAAAUUUCAGGAGCCACAUCAAGUUCUCUGGAGCAUUGGAACUUUUUGUUUGUAACUCAAAAUUCAACCUUACUGAGGCCUGGCAAAGGGUCUUCUCCUGGUGUCCUCGUCCAAGGGCUGAGACCACAAGGGGAAUUAUGAAAAGUACAGGAAGUUCUUACCCACUUGUCCUCAUCCUGAUGUGUCUUAAGGAGAAACCCAGUGGCUCGCAGGAGCACUGUCUCAUCUUUGCGUCUUCUGCUAGGAGAAUGAAGACAAGAUUUCUGGCAUCUCAUCAAAAAUUAGUAGACUUUAAUUUGGUAACAAGUGCAUCAGCCAGAUGAUAUGGGAUGAAAUAUAAAGUGUAGAAUAUCCUAUGCUGGCAUGGAGACAAUAUGUUGUGUAGGAGUGUGUGUCCAUACAUAUGUGUGCAUGUACAUAUGUUUCCUCUUGGGUCAGUGAAUUUUAGAUGCCAAACCCAGUAGAGUUAAUGGGUCUUGAUGCACGUUGGUCAAUCAGAUAUGUUCUCUCUCCCCAUGUAUACCUAUAUAUUUUAUAUAGCUUCAUACAUUACAUAUGUGUCCCUUGCUGGUUUUCCACAGGGGCUCAGUGAAGGGCCUGGGUUUCCAGAGAAAGCCAGUGGAACACCCCAGCCAGAAGGUCACAGAGGUCUCCUUAGGGGAAGAGAACCCAGAUCAUGUACCUUUUUUUCUCAGCAAAAGGAGCAGGAAGUUAGGAACUUGAAACAGGGGUGGAGAUGCUACAGAGCCAGAAAUUGGAGCUUCUGGAGUUAUCCUUUAUGGGGAAGAUGGCAUCACUGGCUUGAAGGUGCAACUCUGGAACCUGGAAUACAGCAAGCUUGAGCAAAAGAAAAUCCAGAACUAGCAGGAAAAUACCAUCAAGCAGCUAAAGCUAAAAGUUGAGGGAUGAGCCCUGUUGGGGGGCCAAUACACUGUCAUUUGCUGGCUGAAAUGUAGAGUGCUGUCAUAUGGCACCUCCUCUGCUGCAUCUCAUUCUUCCAUGGCUUUGUAUUACCUCAGAAAAGCUCUUAAACCUGAAGUUCAGAACUUUCAUGAUCUAGACCUGUCCUGCCAUCCUGCAAGGUCAAGGUUCUCUAGUAUUUUUGUAAGGGAAAUGUGAGUUCUGUCCCCAUUCUAGAGAGAUGGGAGUUGAAGUUUGGAGAUACAGAAAACAUGGCAGGGGUGAGAUUUGGAAGAGGACUCUUCUGACUCCUGAGAGCCUUGGAUAAUGACUUUGGGCACAGCCUCCAGGAAGACUUGCAUGCCCAUCUUUGAAAAAUAGAAACUAACAAAAAAGUCUAAGGAACUAGUCAGGACUAUCCAAUACUCUAGAGCAGCACUCUCAACGAAGCAGAUGAAUAUAUUUUUUCUGCUGGCUUAUGUUUACAUCUACCUCAUUCCAAUAAGCAUAGGAAACAGCUUCUAAAACAUAUGCAUAAUAAUAAUAAUAGUAAUAAUAAUAAUAAUAAUAAUAAUAAUAAUAAUAAAAUUCUAAGUAAAACAUUCUGGACCAUAAAAGUAUGAAUAAAAUUAGACACUAAAAAGAGGGUUGGGACAGUGAACCAAUAUGUGAUAGGCAAAACAUAUGUUCUUACACAUAUAACAGUUUUUUCUCUAAAAUUCCUGGUGGCCAGAGAGAAAAAGGAAAUGUGAGGUCUACAUUUUUUCCUUAUCCCCAAGAUAAAAACCCAAAACAAACAAAACAGAUUUUCAAGAAGUGACUUCUGAGGCUCAGUACAAAAAGCAUUUUUUCAUGUACAAUUUGCAAAAGGUGAUUAUGUUUAAAAAGGCUGGGAGCCUCUUAUGCAACAAAAUGUGACUGAGCAACAUGAAUAUGUAAAGCAGUUGACCUCUAAGCAGCUCCAUGAAAGCCAUGGUGCCAGUUCAUGCUUCUCACCCACUCUUACUGUAUCAGGCAGGACAGAGCUUCCUGAGUGGGCAUGUUGGGUCUGAAGAUUCUUGGACUCUCAUUAAGGAGAGUGAGGAAAACCGAGCUCAUAUUUAUUCAACCAUAGGCAUUGAGUUCUUCUUUGUCAGAUGCCAUGUGGAUGUUGAGGAUGCAGAGGCAGAAAGGAUCUCUGCUUUCCCCAAAGUAACAGUCCCGCUAGAUGUCAUAAGAAUGUUGAACUUGCAGAAUGUAGUCUUGGCAGAAGGGUUGGGGAAGAGGUCAGGAAGAUGCCCUGGAGGAAAUGAUACUUACCUGCUGCCCCUGGCCUGCAGGGACAGCUGAACUGAAGGUUGCUCAUGUGAAUUUCCAAGGACAUCAAAUAAAAGGUAGGCACACAUUUUACCUUUAAACAAACUUCAGGAUGGCUCCUCUGCUCUCAGGAUCAAACUCCUCAAAUGGGAGAGUGAGGGAAUUUCAUGAGAGGCUGGACAGAGAGAGAGAGAGUAAGCAAAUUCAGAUGUUGGCUUUUAUUGGGAGGGCCCUCAUUCUUAGAAAGUUCCAUCCAAAAAAAGGUAAAAAAAGGUAAGAAGGUGGGAGUUAGAAAGAACAUGUGAGAGAAAUUUGACCCAAGGGCUGUAGGGUGAUGCCUAAGUUUGAAGACACGUCCUCAAACUUCCAGGACCAGGGCAAUGUCCAAGUUACCAUGAGAUGUAGUGAAAGUAAAAGCCUCUCUGCUCUGGAUGGAAAACACAAAUCAUUCAGAGUGACACCCCACAUUUACUGAAGCAGAAAGCUGAGGGAUGAGUCAGAAUUGGUAGAAUGCUAGAGUUCCAUUCGGGGCAAAGAGCUUGUGCAAAAACCUGAUGGCCAGAAAAUCAUGUGACAUUUAACAAGUCCUAAUAUGGCCAUGUCCAGAUGGAGGCUUUGAGGCAGCUUGGUGUCUGUAUGACCUUACAGAAGGCCCUGUAUUCCCAAGACAUGAAUCUCCUCCCAUGUGCAGCAAAAUAAGGAACUUUUUCAAUCCCCUAAUUGCCUCUAAUCCAGCUCUGAAACUGUGAACAUCCCUGCAGAAUGUGGAAUGUCUGGGGAGUUAUGAAAGGGACAUGGAGGACCAUACAGCAUCAUGUAGCAACCCACUGUUCUGUAAAUGAACAGGAUCAUUGCAGAGGAAGGAAUAAAACAAGCACUUUUGUAAAUUGCAUUGGUUCUUUGAGACACCACCAGGGCUCCAUUCAGCUCUCAGAAGCAGAAAGGUUCCACCAUGACUCAGGAAAGUGGAAGGUAAAGCCCCUUCUUAGUUUCCCGCCCUGGACCACCAGAGGGGAGGCUGACUUACACUUUCAUCUGUCUUUAGCUUAAACCCUAGCUUCACACUUCAUUGUGUCCUUGGAGACCUCUUGUGGAUAUUUAUUGAUUAACAGCAUUUUUUCCAGGGAUUUUUAUGUUAACUCAUAUGAGCUUGACAUAAAUGAUACUGCAGAUAUCAGAAAUGUCCCAGAGGCUUGGAAAAAAAUGAAAAAGAAAUAUUCUAUUAACUUGAGUAGGCUCCUCA